CCUUGUCACUUGCCCGUCCAGUCUUAUGAUUGACAGCUGGACGGAGAUCUGAUAAGGAC
rnacentral:pre_miRNA from 1 species